rnacentral:rRNA from 1 species
UCCGUAGGCGGACUAAUAAGUCAGGGGUGGAAUCCCACAGCUCAACUGUGGAACUGCCUUUGAUACUGUUAGUCUUGAGUUAUAUGGAAGUAGAUAGAAUGUGUAGUGUAGCGGUGAAAUGCUUAGAGAUUACACAGAAUACCGAUUGCGAAGGCAGUCUACUACGUAUAUACUGACGCUAAUGGACGAAAGCGUGGGGAGCGAACAGGAUUAGAUACCCUGGUAGUCC